GAUGAACGUUGGCGGCGUGCUUAACACAUGCAAGUCGAACGAUGAAGCUCAGCUUGCUGGGUGGAUUAGUGGCGAACGGGUGAGUAACACGUGAGUAACCUGCCCUUAACUCUGGGAUAAGCCUGGGAAACUAGGUCUAAUACCGGAUAGGAGCGCCUACCGCAUGGUGGGUGUUGGAAAGAUUUAUCGGUUUUGGAUGGACUCGCGGCCUAUCAGCUUGUUGGUGAGGUAAUGGCUCACCAAGGCGACGACGGGUAGCCGGCCUGAGAGGGUGACCGGCCACACUGGGACUGAGACACGGCCCAGACUCCUACGGGAGGCAGCAGUGGGGAAUAUUGCACAAUGGGCGAAAGCCUGAUGCAGCGACGCCGCGUGAGGGAUGACGGCCUUCGGGUUGUAAACCUCUUUCAGUAGGGAAGAAGCGAAAGUGACGGUACCUGCAGAAGAAGCACCGGCUAACUACGUG
rnacentral:rRNA from 1 species